rnacentral:lncRNA from 1 species
AGUGACUGGCUGGCAUGAAUUAAUAGGAUUCAUUGGUGCUGACUCCCCCACCUGCACAUUCCUGCCCACAGUCGCGAAUCUUGACGAUGACAUCCAUGAGCACAAAGAAUUAUGCCAGGCAAUCCUAGAGAAUGGGAGUGUUUAACCUUUUCCUCGCCAUCUUGUCUACUUUUAUCUCUGCAGAACCCUCUGUGGAAGCGGUGGUCUGACACAAGCAUUUCUGGAUGACGCUGAACCUGCUUACAACUCCCUGCUGCUGUCAGGCAGAACAUUCUCCAAACCGCAUGAAUUUGGAAGUCUGGACACUUCAGGCAUCAUCAGGUUUAUGGUUUUGUCAUAACCCUGCUGAAAGUCCUUUACCAUCUCCAGGCCUCCAUUUAUUUUCUAUAAAAUAAGGAGUUUGGAAUGGCACUGUGUUGAUAUUCUCCAGUUUUGUGAAACAUCGUACUCAACAAUCGCGAGCAGGCAUUUUACAGACCUUGCUUUCCUAGACCUGCUCAAGUAGAACAUUCAGCAGCUUAGCGACAUCAGAGACAAUUGAAGCAAAGGGCCCACUUAUGGCUGACAGCUGACCCUGCAGCCCAGCUGGGAAGCCCCUGAGACGACCCGGGUCCAGCCAUCAGGGAAGGGAACCAGCGUGGCCCCAGGAGGGCUUUAGGCUGAGGCUUCUCCCAGGAUGUGGAGGCUCAGCACUUUGCACAAAUUGGAUUCAUGCCAAAGGAAACUGAAAGCCUGCCUUUCUUUUUUUCCCAGUGCACAUCUCAGAUUAUUUGGCCUUUGUCCGAGGACUGAAAACAGUUCUGUGUCCAAGUAUGUUUUUAAUACCUGAUAUUUAUUUCACAAAAAAGCUGAAAUUGCUUUGUGUGUCCAGGCUUGAAUGUUUAAGGCAUACUUGAUUAAUACAUGUGUGCUGAGCGCUUCCUGGGGCUCCUAGACACUGCCAAAGGUAGCUCAGUGGGGAAAUUCAAGGCAAUUUUCCCCUUAACUUUUGCUACUUCUGACCAUUUUCCACUUAUGUUAUUAUGCUUCUGUAUCCAUCUGUCUGCCUAUGUCUAGCUAUCCAUCAUCUAUCAAUCAAUCACUGUAUCUUGCAAUGGAGGAAUUAACUGUGAUGUUUUCAAGCGUGUCGCUUCUCUCAUAUUCCUAUUAACAUAUUGGAAACGCUCAGCUAAAUAGAAUAAAGUUUUUAGCCUAAA